UAAACAAAUACCCUUUUAUAACCACAAAAAUGACAUUAAAUAUUAUUGCUUCAAAAAAGGGAAGAAAUUCUCACCCUCAUGCCUUUGAGCCCGGCCCUUUUCUCAGCUCCUUACUUAAAGCUGGAAUGGAUUUCCCUGUGCCAUCCAUUCGUAGCCUCUGCCCCAGGCAGGAGAAGCUGGACUCAGAAUACAUAGCUCUAUUCACCAGGCCGAGCUGCUGAAAGGGGCAACGUUUCCUCUCCUGCCUCUGACUCACCAAAGCAAUUUUAGAUUUGGCCAGCUGACUCCCAGAGUGAGCGAGGGAGCUGCCACAGUGUUCAUCUCUUUGCUAAGAGAAAGACUUUAUUUGGGAAUACUUAGGACAUAUUUUGAGGGAAAAUUUUCUUGCUAUGAGUUCUGUACAGGUUUUCGGGGUUUCUUUUAUUCUUUGGAAGAUACAAAUCAUUACAAUAAAACCAUCAAUCUUUA